UGAGUAACACGUGGGAAACCUGCCCAGAAGCGGGGGAUAACACCUGGAAACAGAUGCUAAUACCGCAUAACAACUUGGACCGCAUGGUCCGAGUUUGAAAGAUGGCUUCGGCUAUCACUUUUGGAUGGUCCCGCGGCGUAUUAGCUAGAUGGUGGGGUAACGGCUCACCAUGGCAAUGAUACGUAGCCGACCUGAGAGGGUAAUCGGCCACAUUGGGACUGAGACACGGCCCAAACUCCUACGGGAGGCAGCAGUAGGGAAUCUUCCACAAUGGACGAAAGUCUGAUGGAGCAACGCCGCGUGAGUGAAGAAGGGUUUCGGCUCGUAAAACUCUGUUGUUAAAGAAGAACAUAUCUGAGAGUAACUGUUCAGGUAUUGACGGUAUUUAACCAGAAAGCCACGGCUAACUACGUGCCAGCAGCCGCGGUAAUACGUAGGUGGCAAGCGUUGUCCGGAUUUAUUGGGCGUAAAGCGAGCGCAGGCGGUUUUUUAAGUCUGAUGUGAAAGCCUUCGGCUCAACCGAAGAAGUGCAUCGGAAACUGGGAAACUUGAGUGCAGAAGAGGACAGUGGAACUCCAUGUGUAGCGGUGAAAUGCGUAGAUAUAUGGAAGAACACCAGUGGCGAAGGCGGCUGUCUGGUCUGUAACUGACGCUGAGGCUCGAAAGUAUGGGUAGCAAACAGGAUUAGAUACCCUGGUAGUCCAUACCGUAAACGAUGAAUGCUAAGUGUUGGAAGGGUUUCCGCCCUUCAGUGCUGCAGCUAACGCAUUAAGCAUUCCGCCUGGGGAGUACGGCCGCAAGGCUGAAACUCAAAGGAAUUGACGGGGGCCCGCACAAGCGGUGGA
rnacentral:rRNA from 2 species